GGGCCCGCACAAGCGGUGGAGCAUGUGGUUCAAUUCGACGCAACGCGCAGAACCUUACCUGGGUUAAAUCCACUCGAACCUUGCAGAGAUGUGGGGGUGCUCUUCGGAGAGCGAGUGAGAAGGUGCUGCAUGGCUGUCGUCAGCUCGUGUCGUGAGAUGUUGGGUUAAGUCCCGCAACGAGCGCAACCUCUGUCGUUAGUUGCCAGCAUUGAGUUGGGCACUCUAACGAGACUGCCGCCGUCAAGGCGGAGGAAGGCGGAGAUGACGUCAAGUCCUCAUGGCCCUUAUGUCCAGGGCUACACACGUGCUACAAUGGGUGCUACAAAGGGUUGCAAAGCCGCGAGGUGGAGCCAAUCUCAAAAAAGCAUCCUCAGUUCGGAUUGCAGUCUGCAACUCGACUGCAUGAAGCUGGAAUCGCUAGUAAUCCCUGAUCAGCAGGCAGGGGUGAAUACGUUCCCGGGCCUU
rnacentral:rRNA from 1 species